UACGGAGGAUGCAAGCGUUAUCCGGAUUCACUGGGUUUAAAGGGUGCGUAGGCGGGCUAUUAAGUCAGUGGUGAAAUCCUCGAGCUUAACUGCAGAACUGCCAUUGAUACUAUUAGUCUUGAAUACAUUUGAGGUGGGCGGAAUAUGUCAUGUAGCGGUGAAAUGCUUAGAUAUGACAUAGAACACCGAUUGCGAAGGCAGCUCACUAAACUGUAAUUGACGCUGAGGCACGAAAGCGUGGGGAUCAAAC
rnacentral:rRNA from 1 species